rnacentral:rRNA from 1 species
GAUGAACGCUGGCGGCGUGCCUAAUACAUGCAAGUCGAGCGAACAGACGAGGAGCUUGCUCCUCUGACGUUAGCGGCGGACGGGUGAGUAACACGUGGAUAACCUACCUAUAAGACUGGGAUAACUUCGGGAAACCGGAGCUAAUCCCGGAUAAUAUAUUGAACCGCAUGGUUCAAUAGUGAAAGACGGUUUUGCUGUCACUUAUCGAUGGUUCCGCGCCGCAUUAGCUAGUUGGUAAGGUAACGGGUUACCAAGGCAACGAUGCGUAGGCGACGUGCGAGGGGGAUCGGCGACACUGGAACGGAGACAGGGUCCAGGCUCCUACGGGAGGCAGCAGUAGGGAAUCGUCCGCAACGGGCGAAAGCUUGACGGAGCAGGGCCGCGUGAGUGAUGAAGGUCUUCGGUUCGUAAAACUCUGUUAUGAGGGAAGAACAAAUGUGUAAGGAACUAUGCACGGCUUGACGGUACCUAAUCAGAAAGCCACGGCUAACUACGUG